rnacentral:rRNA from 1 species
CCUACGGGAGGCAGCAGUGAGGAAUAUUGGUCAAUGGACGAGAGUCUGAACCAGCCAAGUAGCGUGAAGGAUGACUGCCCUAUGGGUUGUAAACUUCUUUUAUAAAGGAAUAAAACGAGGCACGUGUGCCUUUUUGCAUGUACUUUAUGAAUAAGGAUCGGCUAACUCCGUGCCAGCAGCCGCGGUAAUACGGAGGAUCUGAGCGUUAUCCGGAUUUAUUUGGGUUAAAGGGAGCGUAGAUGGGUUGGUAAGUCAGUUGUGAAAGUUUGCGGCUCAACCGUAAAAUUGCAAUUGAUACUGGCAGUCUUGAGUACAGUUGAGGUAGGCGGAAUUCGUGGUGUAGCGGUGAAAUGCUUAGAUAUCACGAAGAACCCCGAUUGCGAAGGCAGCUUACUAAACUGUGACUGACACUGAUGCUCGAAAGUGUGGGUAUCAAACAGGAUUAGAUACCCGUGUAGUC